rnacentral:rRNA from 1 species
GCCUAAAGCGUCCGUAGCCGGCUCUGUAAGUUUUCGGUUAAAUCCAUAUGCUCAACAUAUGGGCCGCCGGGAAUACUGCAUAGCUAGGGAGUGGGAGAGGUAGACGGUACUCCGUAGGAAGGGGUAAAAUCCUUUGAUCUAUGGAUGACCACCAGUGGCGAAGGCGGUCUACCAGAACACGUUCGACGGUGAGGGAUGAAAGCUGGGGGAGCAAGCCGGAUUAGAUACCCGGGUAGUCCCAGCUGUAAACUAUGCAAACUCAGUGAUGCAUUGGCUUGUGGCCAGUGCAGUGCCGCAGAGAAGUCGUUAAGUUUGCCGCCUGGGAAGUACGUACGCAAGUAUGAAACUUAAAGGAAUUGGCGGGGGAGCACCACAAGGGGUGAAGCCUGCGGUUCAAUUGGAGUCAACGCCAGAAAUCUUACCCGGAGAGACAGCAGGAUGAAGGUCAAGUUGAAGCCUUUACCAGACAAGCUGAGAAGUGGUGCAUGGCCGUCGCCAGCUCGUGCCGUGAGGUGUCCUGUUAAGUCAGGUAACGAGCGAGAUCCUUGCCUCUAGUUGCCACCAUUACUCUCAGGAGUAGUGGGGCGAAUUAGCGGGACUGCCGUAGUUAAUACGGAGGAAGGAGAGGGCCACGGCAGGUCAGUAUGCCCCGAA